rnacentral:lncRNA from 1 species
CUGGGUGCAUCUGGAAGAUUCAGUGACCGCAGAACACUUGCGUUAUUACCAACACCGUCAGCUUCGCCGUCUUGAUGGGACGAUGCAGAGCUCAGCCUAAAGGUCCUCAUGGGCCAUGGAAAGAAAGAUUGAAGACAUCUCUGAGUUCUUCUCAGAAGCGAUUUUUAAAUUAAUGAAAACAGCCAUGCAAAGAGGAUAAACAAUCCUUGGGAAAGAGAAGACUGUUCUAAAAUGUACUGUCGCUUCUUUCUCCUGGAACAGCUCUUACCUAGCAAAGGGAAAACUACCAGAAGUUAAAGUCCCUUAUGAUGGUACAUUGGCUCAAGAGAGGAUUUUUCAGAACCUAUGUUGGCAGGAAGAACCCAAGAUUCUCCAAAGGAAGUUCUUCAUUGUAACUGCACUGAUUUUGCUUCACAAUGUCUGUCAGAGUUCCCUUCAGCACCGUAGAUAAAUCUACACUGAAACCUUUCAAAGCCUCUUGAAAACAGACCAAUGAGUGUUACAUUAUCUCAACUUUCUGCCUCCCAUGGAAGCUGCUAACAUAAGCAAAAAUGGACAGGGAGCAACUGCUAUAUAAAUUAUCUUUCCAGGCUGAUAUCAUC